ACGAGGAAGGGCGUAGUAAGCGACGAAAUGCUUCGGGGAGUUGAAAAUAAGCGUAGAUCCGGAGAUACCCGAUAUAGGUCAACCUUUCGAGACUCUAAUCAUUUAUUUUUUUGAAAAGAACAAGGU
rnacentral:ncRNA from 1 species